rnacentral:rRNA from 1 species
GAUGAACGCUGGCGGCGUGCCUAAUACAUGCAAGUCGAGCGAACAGACGAGGAGCUUGCUCCUCUGACGUUAGCGGCGGACGGGUGAGUAACACGUGGAUAACCUACCUAUAAGACUGGGAUAACUUCGGGAAACCGGAGCUAAUACCGGAUAAUAUAUUGAACCGCAUGGUUCAAUAGUGAAAGACGGUUUUGCUGUCACUAUAGAUGGAUCCGCGCCGCAUUAGCUAGUUGGUAAGGUAACGGCUUACCAAGGCAACGAUGCGUAGCCGACCUGAGAGGGUGAUCGGCCACACUGGAACUGAGACACGGUCCAGACUCCUACGGGAGGCAGCAGUAGGGAAUCUUCCGCAAAGGGCGAAAGCCUGACGGAGCAACGCCGCGUGAGUGAUGAAGGUCUUCGGAUCGUAAAACUCUGUUAUUAGGGAAGAACAAAUGUGUAAGUAACUAUGCACGUCUUGACGGUACCUAAUCAGAAAGCCACGGCUAACUACGUG